rnacentral:rRNA from 1 species
AUCACUAAGCCAUGCGAGUCAUUGUAGCAAUACAAGGCAGACGGCUCAGUAACGCGUAGUCAACCUACCCUAUGGACGGGAAUAACCUCGGGAAACUGAGUAUAAUGCCCGAUAGAACACUAUACCUGGAAUGGUUUGUGUUUCAAAUGAUUUAUUGCCAUAGGAUGGGACUGCGGCCUAUCAGUUUGUUGGUGAGGUAAUGGCCCACCAAGACUAUUACAGGUGCGGGCUCUGAGAGGAGUGGCCCGGAGAUGGGUACUGAGACACGGACCCAGGUCCUAUGGGGCGCAGCAGGCGAGAAAACUUUGCAAUGUGCGAAAGCACGACAAGGUUAAUCCGAGUGGUUUCUGCUAAAGGAACCUUUUGUUAGUCCUAGAAGCACUAACGAAUAAGGGGUGGGCAAGUUCUGGUGUCAGCCGCCGCGGUAAAACCAGCACCUCAAGUGGUCAGGAUGAUUAUUGGGCCUAAAGCAUCCGUAGCCGGCUCAGUAAGUUUUCGGUUAAAUCUGUACGCUUAACGUACAGGCUGCCGGGAAUACUGCAGAGCUAGGGAGUGGGAGAGGUAGACGGUACUCGGGAGGAAGUGGUAAAAUGCUUUGAUCUUUCGAUGACCACCUGUGGCGAAGGCGGUCUACCAGAACACGUCCGACGGUGAGGGAUGAAAGCUGGGGGAGCAAACCGGAUUAGAUACCCGGGUAGUCCCAGCUGUAAACUAUGCAAACUCAGUGAUGCAUUGGCUUGUGGCCAAUGCAGUGUUGCAGGGAAGCCGUUAAGUUUGCCGCCUGGGAAGUACGUACGCAAGUAUGAAACUUAAAGGAAUUGGCGGGGGAGCACCACAAGGGGUGAAGCCUGCGGUCCAAUUGGAUUCAACGCC